UGCGAUGUGGCACAAUCGGAAGCGCGUCGGGCUCAUAUCCCGAAGGUUAAUGGUUCGAAUCCAUUCAUCGCAA
rnacentral:tRNA from 1 species